rnacentral:rRNA from 1 species
GAUGAACGCUAGCGGCAGGCCUAAUACAUGCAAGUCGUGGGGCAGCAUGAAGUAGCAAUACUUUGAUGGCGACCGGCAAACGGGUGCGGAACACGUACACAACCUUCCUUUUAGUGGGGAAUAGCCCAGAGAAAUUUGGAUUAAUACCCCGUAACAUUGCGAUGUGGCAUCACAUUGCAAUUAUAGCUUCGGCGCUUAUUGAUGGGUGUGCGUAUGAUUAGAUAGUUGGCGAGGUAACGGCUCACCAAGUCUACGAUCAUUAGCUGAUGUGAGAGCAUGAUCAGCCACACGGGCACUGAGACACGGGCCCGACUCCUACGGGAGGCAGCAGUAAGGAAUAUUGGUCAAUGGACGAAAGUCUGAACCAGCUAUGCCGCGUGAAGGAUUAAGGUCCUCUGGAUUGUAAACUUCUUUUAUAUGGGACGAAAAAAGGUCUUUCUAGAUCACUUGACGGUACCAUAUGAAUAAGCACCGGCUAACUCCGUG